rnacentral:rRNA from 1 species
CUCCUACGGGAGGCAGCAGUGGGGAAUAUUGGGCAAUGGACGCAAGUCUGACCCAGCAACGCCGCGUGAAGGAAGAAGGCUUUCGGGUUGUAAACUUCUUUUAAGGGGGAAGAGUAGAAGACGGUACCCCUUGAAUAAGCCACGGCUAACUACGUGCCAGCAGCCGCGGUAAUACGUAGGUGGCAAGCGUUGUCCGGAUUUACUGGGUGUAAAGGGCGUGCAGCCGGAGAGACAAGUCAGAUGUGAAAUCCACGGGCUCAACCGGAGUAGUGCAUUGGAAACUGGGAGACUUGAGUGCAGAAGAG